rnacentral:rRNA from 1 species
GCAUAUCAAUAAGCGGAGGAAAAGAAAAUACCAAUGAUCUCCCUAGUAACGGCGAGUGAAGAGGAAGAGCUCAAAGUUGGAAACUGUUUGGCUUAGCUAAACCGUAUUGUAAACUGUAGAAACAUUUUCCUGGCACACCAGAUUAAUAAGUCCUUUGGAACAAGGCAUCAUGGAGGGUGAGAAUCCCGUCUUUGAUCUGAGUAGUUGUCUUUUGUGAUAUGUUUUCAAAGAGUCAGGUUGUUUGGGAAUGCAGCCUAAAUUGGGUGGUAAAUCUCACCUAAAGCUAAAUAUUUGCGAGAGACCGAUAGCGAACAAGUACCGUGAGGGAAAGAUGAAAAGAACUUUGAAAAGAGAGUUAAACAGUAUGUGAAAUUGUUAAAAGGGAACCGUUUGGAGCCAGACUGGUUUGACUGUAAUCAACCUAGAAUUCGUUUUGGGUGCACUUGCAGUCUAUACCUGCCAACAACAGUUUGAUUUGGAGGACAAAAUUAAUAGGAAUGUAGCCUCUCGAGGUGUUAUAGACUAUUAUCAUACUCUGGAUUGGACUGAGGAACGCAGCGAAUGCCUUUAGGCAAGAUUGCUGGGUGCUUUCGCUAAUAAAUGUUAGAAUUUCUGCUUCGGGUGGUGCUAAUGUUUAAAGGAGGAACACAUCUAGUAUAUUUUUUAUUCGCUUAGGUUGUUGGCUUAAUGACUCUAAAUGACCCGCUGACCGUCUUGAAACACGGACC